AAGCAACCCCCUGUCUCUUCAUGCUACCCCCCGGUGCCCCCAGCCCCUCACCGCUGCUUCCCCCAGCCCCUCUGCACGGCCCCGUGGGCACGCCCGGGCAUCCUGGUAUCUCUGAGUACCUUCCUGUUACCACCGUGUGUCCCUCCAGGUGCCCCCAUGAACCCCGGAACCCUUGACCUCCCCCCACCACUCCCUGCAGUAACCCCCCCCCCCCCCCCCCCGAUCUCCUCCUGCUAAUCCCGGUGCCUCCUCCCCCUCUGCUGCCUAUGGCUGCACAGGACCCCCGGGCCUGCACUGGGACCCCCGGGGGGGACCAUGUCUGCACUCCAACCCUGCUGGAGUAGGGGGGGGUCCUGUGGCCCCCGAGGGACAGUGCCCUGGGGGGUUCCUGGGCUCCUUUAUCCCCCCCAGCCUGGAGCAGCAUCUCAUGCGCUGGGCCCCCAUAUAAGGCUCCCUCCGCCGGCGCUGGCAGCACUGGAAAGCCAGCACUGCUUUCCUGGCAGGAUGAAGCCAAGGUCACUGACGCCACAGGGAAGGUCCCCAGCUGGCACCCGGGGGAGCAGCCAGUGCAGCUGCAGCCAUGUCAUGCUGUACCUUCACCCUCCUCUUCCUCCUCCUGGUGGGACCAUCCCAAUGGGGCCAGGGGCACUGUACAGCCACCCCGGAGCCCCGGGGCAGAGCCAUGUUCCUCCAUAGUCCUGCAGCCUCACUCUCCAUCCCGUGGGACACGCUGACCUUCCCGGAGCACAGACACGGCCUCCAGCGGCAGAAGAGAGACUGGGUCAUUCCCCCCAUCAACUGCCCUGAGAACGACCUGGGGCCCUUCCCCAAGAAGCUGGUGCAGAUCAAAUCCAACAAGGACAAGGAAACCAAGGUUUUCUACAGCAUCACAGGACAAGGAGUGGACACUAUCCCUGUGGGCAUCUUCAUCAUCGAACAGGAGACAGGGUGGCUGGAGGUGACGAAGCCUCUGGACCGGGAGGAGAAGGAUAAAUACACAGUGAGUGAGUGGGACCUGCAGCAGGGGGGGACAGUCCUGAGGGCUGCACACAGGCUGACUGUGUUCUUACAGCUCUAUGCCCAUGCUGUGUCAGCCAACGGGCAGCCUGUGGAGGACCCCAUGGAGAUCAUCAUCACCAUCACUGACCGAAACGACAACCCACCCAUCUUCUCCCAGGCAGCUUUCCAUGGCUCUGUGCCAGAGGGAGCUGAGCCAGGCACGCCAGUGCUGUGGGUGCUGGCCACUGAUGCAGACGAUGCUGUGAGCUCCAACAAUGGAGUCGUGGUCUAUUCCAUCCUGAGCCAGGCACCGGAGCAGCCCCAGCCCCGCAUGUUCACCAUAGACAGAAGCUCCGGGCUGAUCUCUGUGGCCGUGCCAGGGCUAGUGGCAGAGGUGGUCCGUGAAUAUACCCUGGAGAUCCAGGCAGCCGAUAUGGGGGGACACGGGCUGCAAGCCACCACCACCGCCCGCAUCACAGUGCAGGUGAGAUAUUGAGCCCCCCCGCUGCCCACCCAGCCCAGACGGGGAGGGUGAGGCUGUGGUGAAGCCGGUGCUGGCUCUCAGCAGCCCCACACACCCGGCUGCCGCACCGCCAACGCGCUCCAGGUGCUUUCCAUAGUGGGAGGUGAGGCUGGGAUGGCAGCUCCACGGCGGCUUCUCCUGGCCCGGCACCCCAUCUUCCCGCCGGGCUCUGGGCCACCAGCCCCAGGGCUGCAGCACUGCUGGAGAGUGGGUGCCAGUGGGGCUCCUGGGCACAGCUCCCAGUGGGAAGCUGCCUGUGCUGGCUCAGCCCAGCCAGGGAGGAGCACCCAGUUCUGCGGGAGCCUUGUGCCAGGAUAGCGGCAUCCAGCCACACCAGCUCUGUGGGGAGAGGCUGUGGCGCCAGGAAGGGCGGCCAGGGCCAGGGAUGGUGUUUUGCGCAGUGUCACCGGCCACAGGCCCCUGGCUGAGCGGGACCGAGGACAGCCAGGUACACGGACACGGAUGGGCGCUGCCGGCCCCUCCUGGCAGCGGGACAGGCCAAGGCCGGCACCUACAAGCUGCGCUUUGAGACAGC